UACGUAGGUGGCAAGCGUUGUCCGGAUUUACUGGGCGUAAAGAGUAUGUAGGCGGACAUUUAAGUAGAAAGUGAAAGGUUGGAGCUCAACUCCAACACUGCUUCCUAUACUGGGUGUCUUGAGUGCCGGAGAGGAAAGCGGAACGACACGUGUAGCGGUUAAAUGCGGGGAUAUGUGUCGGAACAACAAUGGCGAAGGCAGCUUUCUGGACUGAGCCGCAAGGCUUAAAACUGACGCUGAGAUACGAAAGCCGAGGGAGCGAACAGG
rnacentral:rRNA from 1 species